rnacentral:rRNA from 1 species
GAUGAACGCUGGCGGCGUGCCUAAUGCAUGCAAGUCGAGCGAACAGAUAAGGAGCUUGCUCCUUUGACGUUAGCGGCGGACGGGUGAGUAACACGUGGGUAACCUAUCUAUAAGACUGGAAUAACUCCGGGAAACCGGGGCUAAUGCCGGAUAACAUGUUGAACCGCAUGGUUCUACAGUGAAAGGCGGCUUUGCUGUCACUUAUAGAUGGACCCGCGCCGUAUUAGCUAGUUGGUGAGGUAACGGCUCACCAAGGCAACGAUACGUAGCCGACCUGAGAGGGUGAUCGGCCACACUGGAACUGAGACACGGUCCAGACUCCUACGGGAGGCAGCAGUAGGGAAUCUUCCGCAAUGGGCGAAAGCCUGACGGAGCAACGCCGCGUGAGUGAUGAAGGUCUUCGGAUCGUAAAACUCUGUUAUUAGGGAAGAACAAAUGCGUAAGUAACUGUGCGCGUCUUGACGGUACCUAAUCAGAAAGCCACGGCUAACUACGUG